rnacentral:rRNA from 1 species
UGCCAGACUCCUACGGGAGGCAGCAGUGGGGAAUAUUGCACAAUGGGGGAAACCCUGAUGCAGCGACGCCGCGUGAGCGAUGAAGUAUUUCGGUAUGUAAAGCUCUAUCAGCAGGGAAGAAAAUGACGGUACCUGACUAAGAAGCCCCGGCUAACUACGUGCCAGCAGCCGCGGUAAUACGUAGGGGGCAAGCGUUAUCCGGAUUUACUGGGUGUAAAGGGAGCGUAGACGGCAAUGCAAGCCAGAUGUGAAAGCCCGGGGCUCAACCCCGGGACUGCAUUUGGAACUGUGUAGCUGGAGUGUCGGAGAGGCAGGCGGAAUUCCUAGUGUAGCGGUGAAAUGCGUAGAUAUUAGGAGGAACACCAGUGGCGAAGGCGGCCUGCUGGACGAUGACUGACGUUGAGGCUCGAAAGCGUGGGGAGCAAACAGGAUUAGAUACCCCAGUA